GUGUUCUUGGCCUAGUCUGGAAAGCAUCACGCGUCCCAAUAUGCAGAGGGGGUUCGAGCAAGCCAGCAGCUAAUUGCCCAGGUCUCUGAGAACUGACAUUAUGCAGGGCCCUCACCCUCCAGCUUCCUUCCCGGAUGAUUUUCUUUAUCUGCUCAAGGAAGAAAGGAUGGAUUCCAACUUCAAUAAUGAAAACCCUGCUCUUCUUUGCCAGCAUCCCAUCCCCCUCCCCUAUCCAAAAAAAAAAAAAAAAAAAAAAAUCUCACUUUCAUGUCGUUUCCCAUCUUGCAACUCUGUCAGUUGUUUUAAAACAACUGUUUUAAAACAUGUCUCCUGUCAUAAAUAAAAUCGUCAUUCUGCAUUUUGACGGCAGUGGUGUGGUGAGAAUUUCACAGCAGAGAUAGAGGACAGACCUGUGAGAGCCUGUUCAACUCUAGUGUUGCCUGGGGAGAAAGAGCCCCAUUCCACUCAGCUUUUAACUGCUGUGGCUUUUCUACUCCGGCUGUUGGGGUGGUUUAGAUAGGGUUUG
rnacentral:lncRNA from 1 species